AGCAUCCUUUGUUGUUCAUGCACACGCAAUAAUGUUCAUUCAGUCUGAUGGAAUUGCGUGUAAUUCGAAUGACCUAGGACAAACCAAAGAGGACAACAAUUCUUGGAACACGAUGAUGACCACGAUGAGGGCAUCAGGCAACAAAAUUGGUAGCGGUGAAGGGCCGUGCUAUCUAGAUCCCUGUUCUAAACUGUACUGCUGCAGAAAGACUAAAAAGUGCUUUAUGAGCUUGGUGAUUUGCUUGGCGAAUUGCUAUCCAUGAUACUGUGGAUGGUGGAAAGGACAAGUGGCAUGAACGUGAUAAAAUGUAAUCUAAAGUAUUCUGAAUUAUUAUGUGUUUCUUUAUACAAAAGAUGCAUUGUCAUUA
rnacentral:lncRNA from 1 species